UAUCAAUAUGUCCCGUAGCGUAUUCAGUCUUCGUUCAGAGUGUUACGAACGAAAAACACAAUGGCGGAGAAAGGUUCGGAUUUAAUAUACGAGGUGUGCUGUGUUUUUUGUAAAGACGACAACGUAAAUUGGGAAGCAACAGUUUACUGUAAACAAUGUUCGAAAGGUCUUUGUGAUGAAUGUGUAAAGUAUCAUAAGAAGCUUUACAAAACUCAGUCCACUCUUAGAAGAGAAGACAAAAAGAUGUGGCCUGUGGUCGAUACAACAUGAGAGGCUUUGAUGUUUUGUAAACAACACCCAGAUCAUCUCAUUGAGCUGUUUUGUGAAGAUCACAGUAAACUGUGUUGUUUUUUGUGUCACUUCCAUGAUCACAGGCUCUUAUUCCUUUUGUAAAGGUCAAAUACCCGAUUGUGUAACAGUGCAUUGAAGUUAGCCUAGUUGACGCAAAAGCCAAAGAAAUGCAUCAAAAAGGAGAGUUUCUUAAAGUUGCAACAAUACUUGAAUCAGAACAACAAACAAUUGAACAAGAAAUCAACACCAUCAAGACAUGCCUUCAGGCUUUGCAAACCUCGCAUGAAAAGGCGCAUGUAGAUAUCAAAGUUAUGCGUCAGAAAAUCACUGCACUUUUGGACACGCUAGAAAGGAACAGUGUGCAAUCUCUAAACACUUCAUACGAAACGUUGCAGAAAUCAUCGCUUCAGUCGCAUCUUUCAAUCUGUUUUAAAGCUCAAGAAGAUUUGCUGCAAAUUAAGGAUGCCAUAAAGGAUAUCGACGAUUAGAAGUACAUAUUUUCAUUUGUGGCAUAUGCGAAGUCAAAGGAAUAGGUUUCCAAGGCACAGAUGAUGAUUAAAACAAUGUCAGAACUUAAGUAUAAUGCCGUUGAAUUUCGCGCUAACACGGAUAUUGAGCAGAUGCUAUCCAUGUCUCUCAGGACUUGGUGAUGUGAUGCGUAUAGAAAAGAAGAAAGUAAGUAAAGCAAAUGAGAAAUUGAAAUGUACCAACUAUGCUAGGUACAAUGUCCGAAUAGACCAAGAUAAAAAGCUGUAAUAUUCGUGGCAUAUCUGAGGUAUCAGGUGGGUAUAUGCUGAUAAGUGACUAUAGUAACAAACGUGUGAAAUUGCUUGAUGGCCAAUGCAAAGUUAUCGCUCACAGAGACCUACCUGGGGCGCCAUGGGACAUGUGCAGUAUAAGUCCUACUGAGAUCGCUGUUACAAUUGAUGAUCAAAGUACACACGCUGUGCAAUUCCUUAUUGUGAACAACAGGAAGCUGGUGAAAAACAGGGUACUGGAGUUGGAAUAUAGUUGUCUAGGCAUCGCACACUUUAAUGGCAAUCUAUUUAUGACAUCGGGUAGUUAUUUGUAUUCACUGGAUGGCGAGCUGGUGAAUAAGAUAUUUGAAGAUAUGUCUGAUAUAUGGACAGGUGAAAAAACAUGUAAGACUAAGAUAGAAAAUUGUGAUAAACUCAACAUUAAUUUUUCUAUUACAAAUAUUAUUUACUUCUUAAAUCAUGCAUACGCUUUGUUAAAUUUAUACAAAGUUGUAUGGACCAUAAGUGUUCUUGUUUAAAUGUGUAUAUGAUUAAUUGAAUAUAUACACAAAUCGUUUACAUAUAAUAAGGGCAUAAUUUAUUGGAAAAAUUGUGUUUGAACUUUUAUUUUGUUAAGUAAUUUAUCCAGAUUAUGCAGGUUUUUGGCCUGGGGCAAAGCCCCUAGGCCAAAGUAGUUAAACCGUUUUUUGAAGUGAGCUGACUUGGCUGGCUGCCAAAACAACCGCGAAUGAAUGAAUUUGGAAAAGUCCGAUUUACCACUUGGCGGUCAUUCAUACGCAAUCAAAGAAGAGGGACCUAUACAAACAAAUAGGUCCCUGCAAAGAAGUUCUCAAUUACUCGCAUUAUGAAUACAUAACAUCACUAUAUAACAUGACAGUGUCAUAAAACGUGUAAAAAAUAUUAUUGAAGCAAAAUUCCUAAGCAUUGGAUACGGCAUAGUUUUUAUUAUUGUUUGCAUAUUCAUGCGAGAAUCUCACUUCCGUUUUAUGAAUGAAAUUCCAGGGAAACACUCUUUUCCAUUUUCCUGAUUCCAUUGGCUGUUUCGUCCCCUGUUUCGAUUGGCUGUUUCGGCUAUGGAAAAUAGUUGUAUUGCCAUACACGAGAAAGACCGGUUAUGGAAGAGAAAGACCGGUUAUAAAACAUUUAGUUUUAGAAAGACGUCCGAGGACUAAAAGAUAAAAAGUAAAUAGUAAUAACAUAAAUUUCAUUCUUAAAUACGAAUGAAAUUAUAUGUACUGGUACUAGUCUUCUAUCUGCAAUGGUCAAAUAUGGAUGUGUAUGGUGUACUUAAUAAAUAAAUAAACUACA